UACGAAGGGGGCUAGCGUUGCUCGGAAUGACUGGGCGUAAAGGGCUCGUAGGUGGCCAACUAAGUCAUACGUGAAAUCCCUCGGCUUAACCGGGGAACUGCGUCUGAUACUGGAUGGCUUGAGGUUGGGAGAGGGAUGCGGAAUUCCAGGUGUAGCGGUGAAAUGCGUAGAUAUCUGGAGGAACACCGGUGGCGAAGGCAGCUCGCUGGGACGGUACUGACGCUAAGGCGCGAAAGCGUGGGGAGCAAACAGG
rnacentral:rRNA from 1 species